rnacentral:rRNA from 1 species
AGUGAACGCUGGCGGUAGGCCUAACACAUGCAAGUCGAACGGCAGCACAGUAAGAGCUUGCUCUUACGGGUGGCGAGUGGCGGACGGGUGAGGAAUACAUCGGAAUCUACUUUUUCGUGGGGGAUAACGUAGGGAAACUUACGCUAAUACCGCAUACGACCUACGGGUGAAAGCAGGGGAUCUUCGGACCUUGCGCGAUUGAAUGAGCCGAUGUCGGAUUAGCUAGUUGGCGGGGUAAAGGCCCACCAAGGCGACGAUCCGUAGCUGGUCUGAGAGGGUGAUCAGGCACACUGGAACUUAGACACGGUCCAGACUCCUACGGGAGGCAGCAGUGGGGAAUAUUGGACAAUGGGCGCAAGCCUGAUCCAGCCAUACCGCGUGGGUGAAGAAGGCCUUCGGGUUGUAAAGCCCUUUUGUUGGGAAAGAAAAGCAGCAGGUUAAUACCCCGCUGUUCUGACGGUACCCAAAGAAUAAGCACCGGCUAACUUCGUG